UUUUCCAGCAGAUGUACGCCAACACCAA
rnacentral:piRNA from 1 species